rnacentral:rRNA from 1 species
UACGUAGGUGGCAAGCGUUGUCCGGAUUUACUGGGCGUAAAGAGCGCGCAGGCGGUCGUUCAAGUCGCGUGUGAAAGCCCCCGGCUCAACUGGGGAGGGUCACGCGAUACUGAUCGACUUGAAGGCAGGAGAGGGUAGUGGAAUUCCCGGUGUAGUGGUGAAAUGCGUAGAUAUCGGGAGGAACACCAGUGGCGAAGGCGACUACCUGGCCUGUUCUUGACGCUGAGGCGCGAAAGCUGGGGGAGCAAACGGG